AGUGAACGCUGGCGGCAGGCUUAACACAUGCAAGUCGAACGGAAGCACAGUAAGUGCUUGCUCUAAUGGGUGGCGAGUGGCGGACGGGUGAGGAAUACAACGGACUCUACAUUUUCGUGGGGGCUAACGUAGGGAAACUUACGCUAAUACAGCAUACGACUUACGGGUGAAAGCAGGGAAUGUUCGGCUGUUGUGGGAUGGACUGACGCGAUGUCGGAUUAGCUAGUUGGCGGGGUAAUGGCACACCAAGGCGACGAAGCGUAGCUGGUCUGAGAGGGGGUACAGGCACACUGGGAGUGGAAGACGGUCCUGAGUCUUACAGGAGGCAGCGGUGGGGAAGAGUGGACGAUGUGCGGAAUCCUGAUCCAGCGAUACCGCGUUGAUGAAGAAGGGCUGCGUGUUGUAAAAACCUUUUGUGGGUAAAGAAAAGCAUCGCUUGAAUACACGCCUUUUCUGACGGUACCUAAAGAAUAAGCACCGGCUAACUUCGUG
rnacentral:rRNA from 1 species